rnacentral:rRNA from 1 species
GACGAACGCUGGCGGCGUGCCUAACACAUGCAAGUCGAGCGAAUGAAGUUCCUUCGGGAAUGGAUUUAGCGGCGGACGGGUGAGUAACACGUGGGCAACCUGCCUCAUAGAGGGGAGUAGCCUUCCGAAAGGGAGAUUAAUACCGCAUAAGAUUGUAGUAUCGCAUGAUACAGCAAUUAAAGGAGCAAUCCGCUAUGAGAUGGGCCCGCGGCGCAUUAGCUAGUUGGUGAGGUAACGGCUCACCAAGGCGACGAUGCGUAGCCGACCUGAGAGGGUGAUCGGCCACAUUGGGACUGAGACACGGCCCAGACUCCUACGGGAGGCAGCAGUGGGGAAUAUUGCACAAUGGGGGAAACCCUGAUGCAGCAACGCCGCGUGAGUGAUGACGGCCUUCGGGUUGUAAAGCUCUGUCUUCAGGGACGAUAAUGACGGUACCUGAGGAGGAAGCCACGGCUAACUACGUG